UCUGUCCUACACAGUCUCACUGAUGGCCUCCGACGACUUGUCGAAUUAAUAAGUAACAAUAUAUAACGAGACAGGCUGCACGUUUCUGCAAACGAUGUUUUCGGGCACAUCUAAACUGAAUUAAUCAACUAAAGUGCUGAUGGUGUUUUGCCAGUAAAUGCUGCAACACUUGUUGUGAAGCUCCAGAAAUGUUUUGUGGAGUACAAAACUUCCAGCAGCUCGGAACAGUUCUGGAAACAAUGGGCCUGCAGAGGAAGGUCGAGCCUAGCAGGCCAGAAACAACUGGGACUAUUUAAAGAACAAGUACAAAGUAGCUGCAGGUUUGAAUGAUGACGUGGAAACUAAAUUAUAUUUGUUUUACCCAUGCAAAUUAAUGAAUACUUUGUUGAUGUUACUGAUUUCCACUGCUUUAGGAUUGCUAAUAUCCAGGGACAGGAGAGGGUCAGUGGGAGGCCCAGCACUGCUACUGGGUCCUGGUUUGUCCUCAUAUAUGAGGUGUCAGGACAGAGGCCUUCCACUGCCCCCCGGUCCUAACUGCCUCCAUCCCUGAGUACACACCAGGGCCAAGUGACCAGGAGGAGGAGGAUGAAGACGAUGGGGAGGAGGAGAGCCCAUAGACAUAUAAAGAGUAGACGCCGCAACGGCUGCCGGGCAGGGAGA